ensembl:lncRNA
GAGAGGGAAAGAGAGGGAGAGGUAAAGAGAGGGAGAGGGAAAGAGAGAGAGAGGUAAAGAGAGGGAUAGGUAAAGAGAGGGAGAGGUAAAGAGAGGGAGAGGUAAAGAGAGGGAGAGGUAAAGAGAGAGAGAGGGAAAGAGAGGGAGAGGUAAAGAGAGGGAGAGGUAAAGAGAGGGAGAGGUAAAGAGAGGGAGAGGUAAAGAGAGGGAGAGGUAAAGAGAGGGAGAGGGAAAGAGAGAGAGAGGUAAAGAGAGGGAGAGGUAAAGAGAGGGAGAGGUAAAGAGAGGGAGAGGUAAAGAGAGG